rnacentral:ncRNA from 2 species
AUUGGGAACAUUUUGCAUGCAU